rnacentral:rRNA from 1 species
UACGUAGGGGGCAAGCGUUGUCCGGAAUCAUUGGGCGUAAAGAGCGUGUAGGCGGCUUGGUAAGUCCGCUGUGAAAGUCCAGGGCUCAACCCUGGAAUGCCGGUGGAAACUGUCGAGCUAGAGUCCGGAAGAGGCGAGUGGAAUUCCUGGUGUAGCGGUGAAAUGCGCAGAUAUCAGGAGGAACACCGGUGGCGAAGGCGGGUCUCUGGGCCGUAACUGACGCUGAGGAGCGAAAGCGUGGGGAGCGAACAGG